UCAAUUACUCAUCAUCCCAAUCUAGUCGGUAUAAGAGCAAGAUUCAUCUAAGGGGAAAAAAAAGGAGGUUGUUACAUAAGCAUUGCAACCAAUUUAUUUAGCAUUUCUUACAUAAUAUGGUGAUACAGAUAAUUUUACGAUGUGACUUUUUUUUUUUGUUAAGAUUCUAACAGCUGGGAGUGGGUACUCCACAGGAUUUAGCAACUCUCUUGGCAUUAGGAGAAUUGACAUAAGGCCUUAGGUUUGGAUUUUUGAGGUACCCACAAAGACAAGGCUUCUGCUCUUUCAACUUAGCGCAACAUGCCGAAGAGGGUGGCUGUGGCGACGAGAUCGCCCCGGCACACGGACUCAGCUCCACGACACUGCACGUUACUGCCUCUGUCACUAGAAAUUCGCCAAGAAAAAGGACUAGUGUCACAACCAAGAUUAUUGCCGCAAAAGAAUUACCA
rnacentral:lncRNA from 1 species